rnacentral:rRNA from 1 species
UACGAAGGGGGCUAGCGUUGCUCGGAAUCACUGGGCGUAAAGCGCACGUAGGCGGGUCGUUAAGUCGGGGGUGAAAUCCUGGAGCUCAACUCCAGAACUGCCUUCGAUACUGGCGGUCUUGAGUCUGGGAGAGGUGAGUGGAACUCCGAGUGUAGAGGUGAAAUUCGUAGAUAUUCGGAAGAACACCAGUGGCGAAGGCGGCUCACUGGCCCGGUACUGACGCUGAGGUGCGAAAGCGUGGGGAGCAAACAGG